GAGGGGCUGGGGACGCAAGCUUUCCUGAGCUCCCACAGUUCUCUGCCCCUCUCCUGUUUCAUGGCGCAAGGGCCCCCUGGGGCUUGCGGUGGUUUUGCACCAAGCUGGUAUCUUGUUCUUCCCAACAGACGGAGGCCCAUUGAGGCUUCUGUGUCCUCCACGGGGACCAGCAUUGGCCUAAACCUGCAGACACCAUUGCAAAGGGAAUUCAGGCAAACCCGCUGGUGAAAAAUGAUUCCAGCGUGGGGACAGAGGCUGACAUUUCUUGCCUGGGUGAUUUAAUGUUGGGCCUCAAUUUUUCACUCCCCCCGUAAGAGUAUGACAUAGCCACAACCUUGCCAGGGCCUGAGGGAGGGUGGAUGGACUUAUCCAUCCCAUAGGUGUUGCUCGUGGCUGGGUGACUUGCUUCUGCCAACGAGAUUUUCACAGACACGGCACAAACAGAAGCCUGGAAUGUGUGGGCACUGCCAGGCCUGCCCUCUAAGGCUCUUGAUUUUCCCCACGAGAUGCACGUGCCCCAGGGAACGGCGGCUCUGGCUGUGGGAUGAGAGGCGUGUGGAGCAGGCAUGGUUCCCAUCCUUAGCCUGGAGUCAAGGUGGAGUGAUUUGAGUAGAUUUGGCCUCUAUUCUCAUGGAGCUUCCUUUCUAGAGGGGAAGGCAGAUGAUGGAUGGAUAAAUAUAAAUG
rnacentral:lncRNA from 1 species